UGCCUGCGCCGGUUCAAUUAAUUAAGAUUAGUAAACACGGAGAUCCAUUUAAAAUACAAAAGUCUGAAACAUAUAUUUUGUGCCAAUGAUAAUUCCAAAGAGGUAUUUAUUAAUAUUCAGUGUCAAAGGUACACCGAUAAUAAACUCCCAGUGUGACAACUGGCAUUUCGAUUUCAAACAAACAAUUCUUACAAAAACAGCUACAUGCAAAGCUUUACAAUAUGUUGUACAGGUAUACAAUAAAUGCUAGAAAAGGAGCAAAGUAAACUACACUGUACAUUAGAAAAAACAUCAAAGAAUAGAAGAAAAGAAUGUUCAUAUAAAGUACAAAUGAUAAAACACAAGUCGUUCGUCAGUAAGCACUAAAUACAUCGAUCAGGCGGAGAGCGUUGCCUGAACAACGACAGCAGUCCCAACUCUUGUCCCGAGGGAAAUGGAAGUGGAACCAUGGUGGAACCAUGGUGGAACUGUUAAGAAACAAAAUCAAGGCAGGUCUUAAAAAGCUGAGACAUAGUAACUUCUGGGGGAAGUUACAUCACACGUCUAUCUGCCUUGAAGUCUAAACUUGCUCUCCUACUUAAUCAAUAAUAAUUCUUCUUUAUAUGGAACACAGUAAUUCAACAAGA